UGGUGAACCAGCGGAGGGAUCAUUACUGAGUACUACACUCUCUACCCUUUGUGAACUAUUAUACCUGUUGCUUCGGCGGCGCCCGCAAGGGUGCCCGCCGGUCUCAUCAGAAUCUCUGUUUUCGAACCCGACGAUACUUCUGAGUGUUCUUAGCGAACUGUCAAAACUUUUAACAACGGAUCUCUUGGCUCCAG
rnacentral:misc_RNA from 1 species